CACAACCUGGGAUUUACCGUAUCCUUUUGUUUGUUGAUGUUUUCAGCUUCCAGACUCCUCUGAUACAGCAUGAAACCUAUCCUGGUCGAAGUUCAAUGCAUGCCACCGAACGUGCGGACCAAGUAGGUGCUCAACGAAUAACUUAACCACCAGCAUUAACUGACAGGAAAGGAGAUACCGGGGUCUCCCUCCCCUUUGCAAGGCCUGGAGGUGGUAUUCACGGAGUUGCCAAAUCAAGAUUCUAGAACUGCUUCUCUACCAUUCAAAUAGUCCCAUUUGGGGUUCUGAGGCCACAACCUUGCCACAGGGUUCGGGCGAUUUCUGGCUCUCUAGCGACACCUGGUGGCCAUACUUAGAUCUGCAUCUUCAAGAAAACCCCUCCCUAUCUUUUAAGUCUCAAACUAAGAUGGAGAGAAAGGAGGGGAAAUUGAAAAAGUGAAAAGGUGACCAUGGGGGGUUCUGGGGAAAGCAACUCGGUGGUAAAAGAGGAAACCUAAGUGGUCACCAUGGUGCACACCUGUCAUCCCAGCAGCUCAGGAGGCUGAGGCAGGAGGAUCAAGAGUUCAAAGCCAGCCUCAGCAACAGCAAGGCCCUGAGCAAGUCAGUGAGACCCUGUCUCUAAAUAAAGUACAAAAUAGGGCUGGGGAGGGGGCUCAGUGGUCGAGGGCCCCUGAGUUCAAUCCCUGGUACAAAAAACAAAAGACUUAGAAACCUUUCUUUUUCCUGUGCCUCUUUUUAAAUUUCUCUUUUCUUUCUCCUCCUCCUCCUCCUCCUCCUCCUUGGACACUGGGGAUGGAACCCAGGGGUGCUCUACCCCAUCCCUUUCUACUAUUUAUUUUGAGAUAAGCUCUUGACAGGUGGUGGAGGCUGGCCUCAAGCUUUCGAUCCUCCUGCCUCAGCCUCCUCAGUCGCUAGGAUGACAGG
rnacentral:lncRNA from 1 species